rnacentral:misc_RNA from 1 species
UACGAGUGCCUCAAGCGUUAUCCGGAAUUAUUGGGCGUAAAGGGUGUGUAGGUGGUUGUGUUAGUCUUCUGUUAAAUUCUUCGGCUUAACCGGGGGCAUGCAGGGGAAACGGCACGACUAGAGGAUGCGAGGGGUCUGUGGAACUCAUAGUGUAGCGGUGAAAUGCGUUGAUAUUAUGGGGAACACCAAAAGCGAAGGCAGCAGACUGGAGCACUCCUGACACUGAAACACGAAAGCGUGGGUAGCGAAUGGG